GACGAACGCUGGCGGCGUGCCUAAUACAUGCAAGUCGAACGCAGUGGGGACGGGUGAGUAACACGUGGGUAACCUCCCAUCAGAGGGGAUAACACUUGGAAACAGGUGCUAAACCAAUAUUGAUGGAUGGACCCGCGGUGCAUUAGCUAGUUGGUGAGGUAACGGCUCACCAAGGCCACGAUGCAUAGCGGGUCUGAUAGGGUGAUCGGCAACACGGGGACGGAGAAACGGCCAAGACUCCGACGGGAGGCAGCAGUAGGGAAGCGUCGGAAAUGGACGAAAGUCUGACCGAGCAACGCCGCGUGAGUGAAGAAGGUUUUCGGAUCGUAAAACACUGUUGUUAGCGAGGCGGUAUCUAACCAGAAAUCCACGGAUAACUACGUGCCAGCAGCCGCGGUAAUAC
rnacentral:rRNA from 1 species